rnacentral:rRNA from 1 species
GAUGAACGCUAGCGGCAGGCCUAACACAUGCAAGUCGAGGGGUAUAGUAGCAAUACUAGAGACCGGCGCACGGGUGCGUAACGCGUAUGCAAUCUACCUUUUACAGGGGAAUAGCCCAGAGAAAUUUGGAUUAAUGCCCCAUAGUAUAUAAGAAUCGCAUGGUUUUUAUAUUAAAGUUCCAACGGUAAAAGAUGAGCAUGCGUCCCAUUAGUUAGUUGGUAAGGUAACGGCUUACCAAGACUAUGAUGGGUAGGGGUCCUGAGAGGGAGAUCCCCCACACUGGUACUGAGACACGGACCAGACUCCUACGGGAGGCAGCAGUGAGGAAUAUUGGACAAUGGGCGCAAGCCUGAUCCAGCCAUGCCGCGUGCAGGAAGACGCAUCUAUGGUGUGUAAACUGCUUUUGUACAGGAAGAAACACUCCCUCGUGAGGGAGCUUGACGGUACUGUAAGAAUAAGGAUCGGCUAACUCCGUGCCAGCAGCCGCGGUAAUACGGAGGAUCCAAGCGUUAUCCGGAAUCAUUGGGUUUAAAGGGUCCGUAGGCGGUUUAAUAAGUCAGUGGUGAAAGCCCAUCGCUCAACGAUGGAACGGCCAUUGAUACUGUUAGACUUGAAUUAUUAGGAAGUAACUAGAAUAUGUAGUGUAGCGGUGAAAUGCUUAGAUAUUACAUGGAAUACCAAUUGCGAAGGCAGGUUACUACUAAUGGAUGACGC